rnacentral:rRNA from 1 species
UACGUAGGGGGCUAGCGUUGUCCGGAAUCAUUGGGCGUAAAGCGCGUGUAGGCGGUCCGGUAAGUCCGCUGUGAAAGUCGGGGGCUCAACCCUUGGAUGCCGGUGGAUACUGUCGGGCUUGAGUACGGAAGAGGCGAGUGGAAUUCCUGGUGUAGCGGUGAAAUGCGCAGAUAUCAGGAGGAACACCAAUUGCGAAGGCAGCUCGCUGGGACGUUACUGACGCUGAGACGCGAAAGCGUGGGGAGCGAACCGG